CCUCUAGCCCGACUUUAUGAAAUGACUUGAGAAGUGUAAAAUAAGUGGGAGCCAGAAACGGCGAAAGUGAACUACCACUACUUUUAACAUUAUUUUACGUUUUCCAUGAAAUCUUUUAGAACUAAGGUUCACGCACACAGGCCAAUUCAAGCAAAAGACAUUCUCACGUGGGGAGUUUAGUUGGGUCGGCACAUCUGUUAAAAGAUAAUGUAGGUGUGACAUCCUGAAAUGUGACCUCGUUUCGAUAUAUAUAAAAUGAUUGUUUCAUCGAUACGU
rnacentral:ncRNA from 1 species